CACACCAACAUUAAGAUUCUGUUCAGACAUACAGUCUCCUACAGCUCUAAAAAUUCAGUUCAUGACCCAGUUAUGGGAGGGAAAUGAAAGAUGUUGCAGUUUGCCCAACUCCACAGAGCAGGAAUGCAGCAGUAUUGAUACAGGCUCCUGGCUCUGAUCAGGCACCAUAUCAUGAGCAGUUAAUGUCAGGUCCAAAUCCUCAGCCGAAACAAGAGGAAGCCACUCUUUAAGGCCGGGAGGGUCUUUCAUCGCCCCGCGUGCACCGGUGCUCGUUCACAGCAAGCGCUGCCACCUGGUGGCACCUGGGAGAAUGGCAGCCCCGACUUCAGCGCCACGUCAGGGAACACUGAUACGAUUGCUCCUUUAAAGACCGUAGCAGCGGCAUGAAUUGAUACCCAGUGGAAUACAUAAUCGAAUCCCUGAUUGUAAGCAUAAGCUAGAAGUAUCAAUACCCUUCCAAGACACUCGUGAUAAUGUAUUUAUAUUCCUGGCAGGAAACUUGAGUCAGUUCAGCAAGUUUCUAGUGCAAAUCUGAUAUGGAUGGUUGACCUGAACUCCGGGGGACAAACAGAGAUAGAACAGGUGGACAGGGUUUCUGCAUGCAGAAAACUGGAUGCCAGAACUUGGAUAAUUAUCUUUCUGUCAGCAUAGCACCCAGCCUUGCAAGACGUGAUGUGGUCUCAAAUGCUGUUAGCGAAUCUGGGGGUCAAAAGAACUCAGGCCUUGCACAAUAGGCCUUGCUCUCCUCGUUAAAUAGAAGUACAAAAUUUGUGAGCGCA